GGGAUUACCCGCUGAACUUAAGCAUAUCAAUAAGCGGAGGAAAAGAAACUAACAAGGAUUCCCCUAGUAACGGCGAGUGAAGAGGGAAAAGCCCAAAUUUGUAAUCUGGCUCUUUUAGAGUCCGAGUUGUAAUUUUGAGAACUGUUUUCAGUGCUGGACCAUGUUUAAGUCUGUUGAAAAACAGCAUCAUUGAGGGUGAUAAUCCCGUUCAUGAUAUGGACUACCAGUACUUUAUGAUACAGUCUCUAAGAGUCGAGUUGUUUGGGAAUGCAGCUCAAAGUGGGUGGUAAAUUCCAUCUAAGGCUAAAUAUAGGUGAGAGACCGAUAGCAAACAAGUACCGUGAGGGAAAGAUGAAAAGAACUUUGGAAAGAGAGUUAACAGUACGUGAAAUUGCUGAAAGGGAAACAAUUGAAGUUAGCCUUGUUAUUGUCAGUUCAGCUCUUUUAGAGUGUAUUCUGAUGAUUAACGACCAACAUCAGUCUUUGAGUGCUGGAUAAGGGUUUUGGAAAUGUAGCAGUCUCGGCUGUGUUAUAGUCCAUUACUUUGAUACAGUGCUUGGGAUUGAGGAUCGCAGUAAGCCAUUUUAUGGUGGACCAAAUUUUUGGUCUUCUUACUGAGGAUGUUGGUGAAA
rnacentral:rRNA from 1 species